rnacentral:rRNA from 1 species
CUGGUCGAGUCGGUCUGCGCGGAAGAUUUAACGGGGCUAAGCAGUGAACCGAAGCUUGGGGUGCAUAAAACUUGUUUUAUGCGCGGUAGAGGAGCGUUCCGUAAGCCUGCGAAGGUGGAUUGAGAAGUCUGCUGGAGGUAUCGGAAGUGCGAAUGCUGACAUGAGUAACGAUAAUGCGGGUGAAAAGCCCGCACGCCGAAAGCCCAAGGUUUCCUUGCGCAACGUUAAUCGACGCAGGGUUAGUCGGUCCCUAAGGCGAGGGCGAAAGCCGUAGUCGAUGGGAAGCAGGUUAAUAUUCCUGCACCUCGCGUGAGUGCGAUGGAGGGACGGAGAAGGUUAGGUGUACCGGGCGUUGGUUGUCCCGGGGAAAGGCGGUAGGUUUGGAUCUUUGGCAAAUCCGGGAUCCUUUAAGACCGAGCACCGAGACGAGCCUUUAUGGCGAAGUCACUGAUACCACGCUUCCAGGAAAAGCUCCUAAGCUUCAGCUCACGAAGACCGUACCGUAAACCGACACAGGUGGGUAGGAUGAGAAUUCUCAGGCGCUUGAGAGAACUCGGGUGAAGGAACUAGGCAACAUGGCACCGUAACUUCGGGAGAAGGUGCACCCUUUUUGGUGGCUCAUGCGAGCUAUAGCUGAAGAGGGUCGCAGAAACCAGGCCGCUGCGACUGUUUAUCAAAAACACAGCACUCUGCAAACACGAAAGUGGACGUAUAGGGUGUGACGCCUGCCCGGUGCUGGAAGGUUAAUUGAUGGGGUCAGCCGCAAGGCGAAGCUCUUGAUCGAAGCCCCAGUAAACGGCGGCCGUAACUAUAACGGUCCUAAGGUAGCGAAAUUCCUUGUCGGGUAAGUUCCGACCUGCACGAAUGGCGUAACGACAGCGGCGCUGUCUCCACCCGAGACUCAGUGAAAUUGAAAUCGCUGUGAAGAUGCAGCGUUCCCGUGGCAAGACGGAAAGACCCCGUGAACCUUUACUAUAGCUUUACACUGAACGUUGAGUUCGUCUGUGUAGGAUAGGUGGGAGGCUAUGAAACUGUGGCGCUAGCUGCAGUGGAGCCAUCCUUGAAAUACCACCCUGUCGUGCUUGACGUUCUAACCUAGAUCCGUUAUCCGGAUCAGGGACCGUGUAUGGUGGGUAGUUUGACUGGGGCGGUCUCCUCCUAAAGAGUAACGGAGGAGCACGAAGGUACGCUCAGCGCGGUCGGACAUCGCGCACUGUGUGCAAAGGCAUAAGCGUGCUUGACUGCAAGAUCGACGGAUCAAGCAGGUACGAAAGUAGGUCUUAGUGAUCCGGUGGUUCUGUAUGGAAGGGCCAUCGCUCAACGGAUAAAAGGUACUCCGGGGAUAACAGGCUGAUACCGCCCAAGAGUUCAUAUCGACGGCGGUGUUUGGCACCUCGAUGUCGGCUCAUCACAUCCUGGGGCUGUAGUCGGUCCCAAGGGUAUGGCUGUUCGCCAUUUAAAGUGGUACGCGAGCUGGGUUCAGAACGUCGUGAGACAGUUCGGUCCCUAUCUGCCAUGGGCGUUGGAAGUUUGAGAGGGGCUGCUCCUAGUACGAGAGGACCGGAGUGGACGAACCUCUGGUGUUCCGGUUGUCACGCCAGUGGCAUUGCCGGGUAGCUAUGUUCGGAAGCGAUAACCGCUGAAAGCAUCUAAGCGGGAAGCGCGCCUCAAGAUGAGACUUCCCGGGGCACAAGCCCCCUAAAGGAACCAUAUAGACUAUGUGGUUGAUAGGUCAGGUGUGUAAGUACAGCAAUGUAUUGAGCUAACUGAUACUAAUGAUCCGUGCGGCUUGACCAUAUAACCUCA